rnacentral:rRNA from 1 species
UCAGAUUGUAGGCUGNAACUCGCCUAUAUGAAGUUGGAAUUGCUAGUAAUCGCGGAUCGGCAUGCCGCGGUGAAUACGUUCCCGGGCCUUGUACACACCGCCCGUCACACCAUGAGAGCCGGUAAUACCCGAAGUCAGUAUCCUAACCGCAAGGGGGGAGCUGCCGAAGGUAGGAUUGGCGAUUGGGGUGAAGUCGUAACAAGGUAGC